rnacentral:lncRNA from 1 species
GAUGGAGUGCCAGGAUGGAGUGGCAGGAUGAGUCCCGGGAUGGAGUGCCAGGAUGGAGUGCCAGGAUGAGUGCCGGGAUGGAGCGCCAGGAUGGAGUGCCGGGAUGGAGCGCCGGGAUGGAGUGCCGGGAUGGAGUGCCAGGAUGGAGUGCCGGGAUGAGUGCUGGGAUGGAGUGCCGGGAUGAGUGAGGAUGAGUGCCGGGAUGAGUGCCGGGAUGGAGUGCCGGGAUGAGUGCCGGGAUGAGUGCCGGGAUGGAGUGCCGGGAUGAGUGCCGGGAUGGAGUGCCGGGAUGGGGUGCCGGGAUGGAGUGCCGGGAUGAGUGCCGGGAUGGAGUGCCGGGAUGAGUGAGGAUGAGUGCCAGGAUGAGUGCCAGGAUGAGUGCCGGGAUGGAGUGCCAGGAUGAGUGCCGGGAUGAGUGCCGGGAUGGAGUGUCGGGAUGAGUGCCGGGAUGAGUGCCGGGAUGGAGUGUCGGGAUGAGUGCCGGGAUGAGUGCUGGGAUGAGUGCCGGGAUGGAGUGCCGGGAUGAGUGAGGAUGAGUGCCAGGAUGAGUGCCGGGAUGAGUGCCGGGAUGGAGUGCCAGGAUGAGUGCCGGGAUGAGUGCCGGGAUGGAGUGCCGGGAUGAGUGCCGGGAUGGAGUGCCAGGAUGGAGUGUCGGGAUGAGUGCCGGGAUGCGUGCCGGGAUGGAGUGUCAGGAUGAGUGCCGGGAUGAGUGCCGGGAUGAGUGCCGGGAUGGAGUGCCGGGAUGAGUGAGGAUGAGUGCCGGGAUGAGUGCCGGGAUGAGUGCCGGGAUGGAGUGCCGGGAUGGAGUGCCGGGAUGGAGUGUCGGGAUGGAGUGCCGGGAUGGAGUGUCGGGAUGGAGUGCCGGGAUGGAGUGUCGGGAUGGAGUGCCGGGAUGAGUGCCGGGAUGGAGUGGCAGGAUGAGUCCCGGGAUGGAGUGCCGGGAUGAGAGCCGGGAUGGAGUGCCGGGAUGAGUGCCGGGAUGGAGUGCCGGGAUGAGUGCCGGGAUGAGUGAGGAUGAGUGCCAGGAUGAGUGCCGGGAUGAGUGCCGGGAUGGAGUGCCAGGAUGAGUGCCGGGAUGGAGUGCCGGGAUGGAGUGCCGGGAUGAGUGCCGGGAUGGAGUGUCGGGAUGGAGUGCCGGGAUGAGUGAGGAUGAGUGCCAGGAUGAGUGCCGGGAUGAGUGCCGGGAUGGAGUGCCGGGAUGAGUGCCGGGAUGGAGUGCCGGGAUGGAGUGCCGGGAUGAGUGCCGGGAUGGAGUGUCGGGAUGGAGUGCCGGGAUGGAGUGUCGGGAUGGAGUGCCGGGAUGAGUGAGGAUGAGUGCCGGGAUGAGUGCCGGGAUGAGUGCCGGGAUGGAGUGCCGGGAUGGAGUGCCGGGAUGGAGUGCCGGGAUGAGUGCCGGGAUGGAGUGCCGGGAUGAGUGAGGAUGAGUGCCGGGAUGAGUGCCGGGAUGAGUGCCGGGAUGGAGUGCCGGGAUGGAGUGCCGGGAUGAGUGCCGGGAUGGAGUGCCGGGAUGAGUGAGGAUGAGUGCCAGGAUGAGUGCCGGGAUGAGUGCCGGGAUGGAGUGCCGGGAUGGAGUGCCGGGAUGAGUGCCGGGAUGAGUGCCGGGAUGGAGUGCCGGGAUGGAGUGCCGGGAUGAGUGCCGGGAUGGAGUGUCGGGAUGGAGUGCCGGGAUGAGUGCCGGGAUGGAGUGCCGGGAUGAGUGCCGGGAUGGAGUGUCGGGAUGGAGUGCCGGGAUGAGUGCCGGGAUGGAGUGCCGGGAUGAGUGCCGGGAUGGAGUGCCGGGAUGAGUGAGGAUGAGUGCCGGGAUGAGUGCCGGGAUGAGUGCCGGGAUGGAGUGCCGGGAUGGAGUGCCGGGAUGAGUGCCGGGAUGGAGUGCCGGGAUGAGUGAGGAUGAGUGCCAGGAUGAGUGCCGGGAUGAGUGCCGGGAUGGAGUGCCGGGAUGGAGUGCCGGGAUGAGUGCCGGGAUGAGUGCCGGGAUGGAGUGCCGGGAUGGAGUGCCGGGAUGAGUGCCGGGAUGGAGUGUCGGGAUGGAGUGCCGGGAUGAGUGCCGGGAUGGAGUGCCGGGAUGAGUGCCGGGAUGGAGUGUCGGGAUGGAGUGCCGGGAUGAGUGCCGGGAUGGAGUGCCGGGAUGAGUGCCGGGAUGGAGUGCCGGGAUGAGUGAGGAUGAGUGCCAGGAUGAGUGCCGGGAUGAGUGCCGGGAUGGAGUGCCGGGAUGGAGUGCCGGGAUGGAGUGCCGGGAUGAGUGCCGGGAUGGAGUGCCGGGAUGAGUGAGGAUGAGUGCCAGGAUGAGUGCCGGGAUGAGUGCCGGGAUGAGUGCCGGGAUGGAGUGCUGGGAUGAGUGCUAGGGCGCUCGUUUCUGCUUCAGGGCACAUUCUCAAACGUACUUGUUUGUUCACAAGAACCCAUUUUCUGCUGCUCUCUGCCUUCGAAUCUAAUGGCUUCAAAUUUACACUAAAGUUGAAACACAGUGUUGAUACUACUCGUUCUAAGAUGAAUGAGUUCUGGGAGUCGAAUGUAUGGUAUGGUGACUAGAGGUAAUGAUACUGUAUUGUAUACCUGAAAUUUGCUAAGAGAGUAGAUUUUAAAUAUUCCCACUCUAAAACAAAC